rnacentral:rRNA from 1 species
GUCGAACGGUAACAGGGAGCUUGCUCCGCUGACGAGUGGCGAACGGGUGAGUAAUGCGUCGGAACGUGCCGAGUAGUGGGGGAUAACCCGGCGAAAGCCGGGCUAAUACCGCAUACGACCUAAGGGUGAAAGCGGGGGACCGUAAGGCCUCGCGCUAUUGGAGCGGCCGAUGUCUGAUUAGCUAGUUGGCGGGGUAAAAGCCCACCAAGGCGACGAUCAGUAGCUGGUCUGAGAGGACGACCAGCCACACUGGGACUGAGACACGGCCCAGACUCCUACGGGAGGCAGCAGUGGGGAAUUUUGGACAAUGGGCGCAAGCCUGAUCCAGCCAUGCCGCGUGCGGGAAGAAGGCCUUCGGGUUGUAAACCGCUUUUGGCAGGAACGAAACGGCGCGAGCCAAUACCUCGCGCUAAUGACGGUACCUGCAGAAUAAGCACCGGCUAACUACGUGCCAGCAGCCGCGGUAAUACGUAGGGUGCAAGCGUUAAUCGGAAUUACUGGGCGUAAAGCGUACGCAGGCGGCUUUGCAAGACAGGUGUGAAAUCCCCGGGCCUAACCUGGGAACUGCAUUUGUGACUGCAUGGCUAGAGUCUGUCAGAGGGGGGUGGAAUUCCACGUGUAGCAGUGAAAUGCGUAGAGAUGUGGAAGAACACCGAUGGCGAAGGCAGCCCCCUGGGAUGAGACUGACGCUCAUGUACGA